GCCGGAGUGGCGGAAUUGGUAUACGCGAACGACUCAAAAUCGUUUCCCGCAAGGGUUGAGGGUUCAAGUCCCUCCUCCGGCA
rnacentral:tRNA from 1 species